GGAGAGUCUUCAGAGGAAAGCUGUCUUGGAGUGGAAUUCGAACAUUCAGAUCAUGCCCCACAAGGAAAAUGUUUCUGGGCACACAUCCUCAACCUAGAGAGAGAUCACAAGUA